UUUUAUUGAUUGCAGGUUUCUCAGAAACUAACCUCUCUGCUCUAGAUGAAUUUGGACCCUUCAAAGUCAACAUUUAUAAACCAUACUCAUGAACACAGUUAACAUGCAAACCUAAUUAAGAAAUAUAUAUUCUCAGAAAGCCAGGAAAAAAGGAGGUAGCCAAUUAACCUGUGCGCGUUUAAAGGCAUACAAGGUGCAAGUUCAAAAAGGAGUAAAAAGUGGAUGGAGUGCGAAUGAGAAAUGUAAGAAAUUCUUGGGAUUUAAUUGAUAAGAUUUAUAGAUUUGGGAUACAAUCUAAAAUGGUGACAUGGUAAUUAGCACUUACAAAAAUGGCGUGCAUAACUUCAUUUAUGUUUUGUUCAAAAGAAAAAAAAAAACUUCAUUUUUGUGCUGUUAAGUGGACGGGAAGAAGAACCCGAAAAAGCUCUCUUCAUCUUCUUCCAGGUGAACACAAUGCUGACAACAAAUUGUGUUAAGGUUAAAUAAGUUAUCUUGAAUUGUCCAAGUUUGAAAUAAUGGAUGAAGAUAACAGUUUGAAUAUUCGUAAUUGGGGCUACUAUGAACCAACAUCUGUUAAAGGAAAUCUGGGCCUUCAGCUCAUGUUCCCACCUGAGAACCCUUUUUGGGUGACGCAGUGCUGCGAUCAUGGCAAGUGUCAAUGGAGGUUUUCACCAUAGGGAUACUGGGGUUUGGCAGCCCAUGUUCCAUAUAGAGUACAUGAGGGAUGCUUGGACUGGCCAGAGAGAGACGUUUCUCAAUGCGUUGCCUGGAAACCAUAGUUAUGCAGCAGUUUUGCCUGGAACAUCUUCAGCUCAUCAUAUGCAUAUGUUUCAACCACCUGAUUUGGUAAAUCAUGAAACAAUGGACCAAGUCAAAGAGGCUGGUGUUGUUGAAAAGGAAAAUGUUCCUAAUAAGAAGAGGCAGCGUCCUAAAGCCCUGAAAUCCCCUAAAGUAAAGAAGGAUAUGAGAGGCCCUCGAGCACCCAAGCCUGAGGGUAGUCCUUCUGUUCAACUAGUAAGGUCUGCCAAGAAAACUGCCGAAAUUAUGAUAAAUGGGAUCAAUAUAGACAUUUCAGUCAUUCCUAUACCGGUUUCUUUGUGUAUGGGACCCCAACAAUGUUAUCAUUGGGUUUGUGGUGGGUGGCUAUCGGUAUGUUGUAUGACUUGCAUAUCUAUGUAUCCCUUGCCUAUGAGUACAAAAAGGCAUGGUUCGAGGAUAGCAGGGAGAAAAAAAUGAGUUUAGGAGCUUUUAAGGUGGUCUUAGAGAAACUCGCUGGUGAAGGCUAUGACUUUCUAAUCCAUAGAUUUGAGAACUCACUGGGCUAAACAUGGUACGAACAAGUUUAUCACUAUCAGGUAGAUGUACCAUUUGGAUCUUUAUAUUGCCCAAGUAUUGCAACUCAGCAAGUUUCUGUAUAUUUUUUAAUGCAUCUGGUCUUGGCAGAGGCUUCUAAUGUAGUUUGUUGUUGAUGGGUUUCUGUCACAUACGGUGAUUUUGAAAUUGUGCCUUUUUGGCACUACAACUGUUGUUUUAUCCUCUUUCUGCUGGUAGUCUUAGCUGUUUCGAACUUAUUGAGGCCAGGGAAAAUGAUAUAGUAAACGAUAUUUUCUUAACA